rnacentral:rRNA from 1 species
CGAAGAAGAGCACAGGGAUUGCCUCAGUAACGGCGAGUGAAGCGGCAAGAGCUCAGAUUUGAAAGCUAGCAUCUUUGAUGUUCGCAUUGUAAUCUGUAGAGGAGUGUUCGAGCAUAGCUUUGACCCAAGUUCUUUGGAACAAGAUGUCAUGGAGGGUGAGAAUCCCGUUCAUGGUUGUUGUCUUAUGCUUAUGUGAAUCUCCUUCAAUGAGUCGAGUUGUUUGGGAAUGCAGCUCUAAAUGGGUGGUAUAUUUCAUCUAAAGCUAAAUAUCAGCAGGAGACCGAUAGUGCACAAGUAGAGUGAUCGAAAGAUGAAAAGAACUUUGGAAAGAGAGUCAAACAGUACGUGAAAUUGUUGAAAGGGAAGCACUUGCACCCAGACUUGCUUUCAGUUGAUCAACUAUCAUUUUUGAUUGUGCACUUAAUUGUAAGCAGGCCAGUAUCAGUUAGAGUGGUGGGGCAAAGGUGUUGAGAAUGUAGCUCUUUCGGGAGUGUUAUAACUCUUCAUGUCAUAUCAUCUGCUCUGACUGAGGUUCGCACUUUGGUGAGGAUGCUGGCUUAAUGGGUGCAAGUGACCCGUCUUGAAACACGGACCAAGGAGUCUAACAGUUGUGCAAGUGUUUGGGUAUAAAACCCUUAUGCGUAAUGAAAGUAAAUGGAGGUGAGAACCGCAAGGUGCAUCAUCGACCGAUCCUGAUGUCUUCAGAUGGAUUUGAGUAAGAGCAUAGCUGUUGGGACCCGAAAGAUGGUGAACUAUGCCUGAAUAGGGUGAAGCCAGAGGAAACUCUGGUGGAGGCUCGCAGCGGUUCUGACGUGCAAAUCGAUCGUCAAAUUUGGGUAUAGGGGCGAAAGACUAAUCGAACCUCUAGAGUGUCCGCGGGA